CCUCACGGGCCGGCCGGCGGGCCGCGCGGGUCCUCCAGAGGCAAGGCCUCCCAGGGGAGGCUCCAGGAGACAAAGACCCCAGGAGGGGGCAGCGUUCCGUGCAUGGGCAGAGGACUUUGGGGGAGCCGCUGGCCUUCUGUGCUAACCAGCCCCUGGUGGGCAGGGGCCUGCGGCUGUGGCCCUCUGUUUUUAACAUGCUUUCACUGGACGGCCCCCUUGUUCCUGAAUUGCUGAUUUGCAGGGAAUCUGGGCACAACCUUAAUAAUAUCAGGGCCCAAAAUAACAAGGUUCCUGGGAACCAGAGCAUGAUAAGAGCAAGAAGCCAUUUCACCAUCCAGAGAAGAGGAAAGACUGUUUUUCUCUUCAGAGUUUCCAGUCCCUGAGGAAAAAAGGCCAGCAAGGAAGCAUGGAGUAUAACACAAUUUAGAAAAUGCCCUGGGGAAAAACCAGAAGGAAGAUCAAGAAAAGGAAGAGGAAGAGCAGCAAGUCAAUGUUCUAAGGUAGCAGACCACCACCGACUCCACUUCUGAUGGUUUUAUGUGCUGGUGAUCCAACUGAUGGCUCUUCCAGGCCCUUCUUUGCCUCAGAAGUCCCUUGUUUAUGCCUGCAUUUGACGUUUGUC